GGAAAUUUUGCCGUUUUUUGUUAUUAUCUUGAAUAUUAUUAUAGAUAGAGAUAAACUGUUAACAGCAAUAAUGUUCAGCAAAACAAGAUCUACAAAUAAGUUUCAUGACCAAAAUAGUCAAUUGAUCCCUUAAGGAGUUAUUGCCCUUUAUAGUUAAUUUUUAGCAUUUUUCAUAAAUUUUUGUAAAUUUUUAGAAAAUAUUUUCCACUGUAAUUACUGGGCCAAGUUCAUUAUAGAUAGAGAUAAUUGUAGCAACAAGAAUGUUCAGUAAAGUAAGAUCUACAAACACAUCACCAUCACCAAAACACAAUUAUGUCAUGAAUUUAUCUGUGUCCAUUGUUUAAUAUGCACAUAGACCAAGGUGAGCGACACAGGCUCUUGAGAGCCUCUAGUUUCUGAUAAGAAG
rnacentral:lncRNA from 1 species